GACAGAGGGGGCAAGCGUUGCUCGGAAUUACUGGGCGUAAAGCGCGGGCAGGCGGUCUGACAAGUCUGAUGUGAAAUCUCCGGGCUUAACCGGGAGAGGCCAUUGGAAACUGACAGGCUGGAGGGCAGUAGAGGUAGGCGGAAUUCAGGGUGGAGUGGUGAAAUGCGUAGAGAUCCGGAGGAACACCAGAGGCGAAGGCGGCCUACUGGGCUGCACCUGACGCUGAGCCGCGAAAGCCAGGGGAGCGAACGGG
rnacentral:rRNA from 1 species